rnacentral:rRNA from 1 species
UGCGGAGGGAUCAUUACACAAAUAUGAAGGCGGGCUGGAACCUCUCGGGGUUACAGCCUUGCUGAAUUAUUCACCCUUGUCUUUUGCGUACUUCUUGUUUCCUUGGUGGGUUCGCCCACCACUAGGACAAACAUAAACCUUUUGUAAUUGCAAUCAGCGUCAGUAACAAAUUAAUAAUUACAACUUUCAACAACGGAUCUCUUGGUUCUGGCAUCGAUGAAGAACGCAGCGAAAUGCGAUAAGUAGUGUGAAUUGCAGAAUUCAGUGAAUCAUCGAAUCUUUGAACGCACAUUGCGCCCUUUGGUAUUCCAAAGGGCAUGCCUGUUCGAGCGUCAUUUGUACCCUCAAGCUUUGCUUGGUGUUGGGCGUCUUGUCUCUAGCUUUGCUGGAGACUCGCCUUAAAGUAAUUGGCAGCCGGCCUACUGGUUUCGGAGCGCAGCACAAGUCGCACUCUCUAUCAGCAAAGGUCUAGCAUCCAUUAAGCCUUUUUUUCAACUUUUGACCUCGGAUCAGGUAGGGAUACCCGCUGAACUUAAGCAUAUCAA